ensembl:misc_RNA 7SK 7SK RNA
GGAUGUGAGGGUGACCUGGCUGCGACAUCUGUCACCCCAUCGAUCAUCAGAGUUUAUUCGGCUGAUCUGGCUGGCUAGGUGGGAGUCCCCUUCCUCCCUCACCACUCCAUGUGCAUCCCUGCCAAAGCUGCACGCUUGGUCGAAGAGGAUGACCAUCCCUAACAGAGGAGUACCAGUCUUUGGUCAAGCAUAUACGAGUAGCUGUACUCCCCUGCUAGAACCUCCAAACAAGCUCUCAAGAAUGAAUAAGACCUAUUAUUAGACAGUACAAUUGGGUGACUAAAGUCAAUAACAACUUAAUCAUACAUUUUAAAAUAAAGAGUGGAAUUUAUUUGUUUGCAACU